CACGGGGGGAGCAAGCGUUGUUCGGAAUCACUGGGCGUAAAGGGCGUGUAGGCGGUCAGGUAAGUGAGAUGUGAAAUGCCCCGGCUCACCCGGGGACCGGCAUCUCAUACUGCUUGGCUUGAGUACGGGAGAGGAUGUGGGAAUUCCUGGUGUAGCGGUGAAAUGCGUAGAUAUCAGGAGGAACACCGGUGGCGAAGGCGGCUCUCUGGGACGGUACUGACGCUGAGACGCGAAAGCGUGGGGAGCAAACAGG
rnacentral:rRNA from 1 species